rnacentral:rRNA from 1 species
UACGUAGGGGGCUAGCGUUGUCCGGAAUCAUUGGGCGUAAAGCGCGCGUAGGCGGCCAGAUAAGUCCGGUGUGAAAGUCACAGGCUCAACCUGUGAAUGCCGCUGGAAACUGUCUGGCUAGAGUCCGGAAGGGGCGAGUGGAAUUCCUGGUGUAGCGGUGAAAUGCGCAGAUAUCAGGAGGAACACCAAUGGCGAAGGCAGCUCGCUGGAACGGUACUGACGCUGGAGGCGACGAAGGCGUAGG